rnacentral:lncRNA from 1 species
UUUCGACCAGACUCGUCAUGCUGACCCACUACACACCUCACAGACCCCUCGAGGGCUGUCAAGUACCAGAUUAACAGUUGUUCCUUCCAUGGGAGGCAUCAGAAUCAGAGGUUCCUGCAACUUAUUCUUUUAUCUUUCAAUGCCCCUUGGCAAUCAUUAUCCACCUGAUCGUUUGAUCUUUUUUUUCAACAGUUUGAAUGGGUUCCCACGUGGCUAUCAGAUGAGAUAUGAACCGUGAAAUGCAGUUCAAUCUAUCUAAGGAACCACGAACCUCUUUUUCUGUUCUCGGUCCAGGCGUUUCUUGUAUCGCUUUUUCCUUUUCUUUUUUUCUUUUCUUUCUUUUCUUUCUUUUUAGCAGGAUCAACCUCGAUUCCUCUUAUCCGCAAUAAGCCUCAGCAACUUACCGGACAGCACUCCACAAGCGCACUGAUUCGGACUCAACCUCAGUCUGAGUUGUCUCAACCGGUCAAACAACUUGACCAGA